GAUGAACGCUGGCGGCGUGCCUAAUACAUGCAAGUCGAGCGAACAGAUGAGGAGCUUGCUCCUCUGACGUUAGCGGCGGACGGGUGAGUAACACGUGGAUAACCUACCUAUAAGACUGGGAUAACUUCGGGAAACCGGAGCUAAUACCGGAUAAUAUAUUGAACCGCAUGGUUCAAUAGUGAAAGACGGUUUUGCUGUCACUUAUAGAUGGAUCCGCGCCGCAUUAGCUAGUUGGUAAGGUAACGGCUUACCAAGGCAACGAUGCGUAGCCGACCUGAGAGGGUGAUCGGCCACACUGGAACUGAGACACGGUCCAGACUCCUACGGGAGGCAGCAGUAGGGAAUCGUCCGCAAUGGGCGAAAGCCUGACGGAGCAACGCCGCGUGAGUGAUGAAGGUCUUCGGAUCGUAAAACUCUGUUAUUAGGGAAGAACAAAUGUGUAAGUAACUAUGCACGGCUUGACGGUACCUAAUCAGAAAGCCACGGCUAACUACGUG
rnacentral:rRNA from 1 species